rfam:Acholeplasma oculi genome assembly, chromosome: 1
GGAACAAUACUCAAGUGGCUGAAGAGGCACGCUUGGAAAGCGUGUAGACUGUAACAGGUGCGAGGGUUCAAAUCCCUCUUGUUCCG